rnacentral:lncRNA from 1 species
UCACUUCUAUCCACACCCUCUUCUCAUUUGGCAUCCUUUACUCCCAUGGUUCCUAGGUUACCACUCCUUAUACCUUUCCUGGGCUCUAUACUCCCCAAAACCAGUCAUCUCCUGGGAUUGCCAUUUCAUGUCCAGUGGACAUCUCAGGCUUAAUAUAUAAAGUCAAAUCGACAUCUUUCCCACAUAGACACUUUGGAUGGCUUUGCACAAAUGGAGCACUGAGAAGCAUAUACAGGGUCCAUUUGCCCAAGUUAGGAGCCUGACUGUCUUCUCUUUCCUCACUCCCUCCAUCAAAUUCGCCACAAUGUCUUGCCUUGCUUCUCCUUAAUACAACAGUACCAUGCUAUCCUGACCACAACUGUUAAGUGCUACCUCUGCUUCCACUUCAAACUUGAUCCCAACAUAUGUUGGAUCUCAACUCUAACUUGGAAGAUUCACUUUUGCCCUCCAUGUUGACCAUGGUUAUCCUUAACUGCAGAAUUAACCAUCUCCUAGUCCUCACAUUGCUAGGAUAAUACCCAUGCUUUGUAUGUGACUUGUUGGAGUCUUGUGCUCUGUGGCACAACCCUUGUUCUCCUGGGAACAACUGGUUCUUCCUUAGUGGAAGGGAGAAGAGCUCCCUGAAGAGAUUAAGACUUUGAGUCUGUGUCUUGCUCUAGUCUCUCAGCUGUACGACCCUUGAGGGGUUGGGGAAUAAGAUGUGUUGUGGGGUUCUUGUCUCAUAGCACUUUCCUCUUAGCAGUGUGGCUCUGGCUGUUGAGGACUGGUGGAUGGAUAGUCCCAGUUGUGACUUUAGUAUAUGUCAUCUUCUGUAUGGUUUCUAUGGCGGCUUUUCUCUAUUUUCGAAGAGCCUUCAUCCUGAGGAGGAAGAGGAAGCGAAUGACCGACCCUGCUAGGAGAUUCUUCAAAGUGACGCCUCCCUCAGGAAACGGGACCCAGAACCAGUAUGGGAAUGUGCUCUCCCUUCCUACAUCUACCUCUGGCCAGG